rnacentral:rRNA from 1 species
GGUUAAGCGACUAAGCGUACACGGUGGAUGCCCUGGCAGUCAGAGGCGAUGAAGGACGUGCUAAUCUGCGAUAAGCGCCGGUAAGGUGAUAUGAACCGUUAUAACCGGCGAUUUCCGAAUGGGGAAACCCAGUGUGAUUCGUCACACUAUCAUUAACUGAAUCCAUAGGUUAAUGAGGCGAACCGGGGGAACUGAAACAUCUAAGUACCCCGAGGAAAAGAAAUCAACCGAGAUUCCCCCAGUAGCGGCGAGCGAACGGGGAGGAGCCCAGAGCCUGAAUCAGCAUGUGUGUUAGUGGAAGCGUCUGGAAAGGCGCGCGAUACAGGGUGACAGCCCCGUACACAAAAGCGCAUGUGCUGUGAGCUCGAUGAGUAGGGCGGGACACGUGGUAUCCUGUCUGAAUAUGGGGGGACCAUCCUCCAAGGCUAAAUACUCCUGACUGACCGAUAGUGAACCAGUACCGUGAGGGAAAGGCGAAAAGAACCCCGGCGAGGGGAGUGAAAAAGAACCUGAAACCGUGUACGUACAAGCAGUGGGAGCACAGGUUUACCUGUGUGACUGCGUACCUUUUGUAUAAUGGGUCAGCGACUUAUAUUCUGUAGCAAGGUUAACCGUAUAGGGGAGCCGGAGGGAAACCGAGUCUUAAUUGGGCGUUAAGUUGCAGGGUAUAGACCCGAAACCCGGUGAUCUAGCCAUGGGCAGGUUGAAGGUUGGGUAACACUAACUGGAGGACCGAACCGACUAAUGUUGAAAAAUUAGCGGAUGACCUGUGGCU